rnacentral:rRNA from 1 species
UGCCAGCAGCCGCGGUAAUACGUAUGGGGCAAGCGUUAUCCGGAUUCAUUGGGCGUAAAGCGCGCGUAGGCGGAUUGUUAAGCGCGAUGUGAAAACUGGGGGCUCAACCCGCAGCCUGCAUCGCGAACUGGCAGUCUUGAGUCUGGUAGAGGAGUGUGGAAUUCCCAGUGUAGCGGUGAAAUGCGCAGAUAUUGGGAGGAACACCAGUGGCGAAGGCGGCACUCUGGGCCACGACUGACGCUGAGGCGCGAAAGCUAGGGGAGCGAACAGGAUUAGAUACCCUGGUAGUCCUAGCCGUAAACGAUGGGCACUAGGUGUGGGGGGUUAUACUCCCUCCGUGCCGCAGCUAACGCAUUAAGUGCCCCGCCUGGGGAGUACGGCCGCAAGGCUAAAACUCAAAGGAAUUGACGGGGGCCCGCACAAGC